AGUCCGCUCGCUGCAUGGAGAGGGAAACAUGAGCAUGCAGCAGGACUAGCUGUCACCUCCCGCCCGCCUGCCCAGAGAGGGCCAGAGCGUCAGGGAGGCAAGAUGAUCCACCAACGGUGCCAUCCUACACUUGGAUUCAGUAAGCUGUGAGGUCCGUAAUGUCAGACACUGGCAAACAUCACAUGUUCUUCAAGUAGAGUUAUGAAAACGAAGAAACUGGUCAGAAGAGUAAAACGCCGGAAUUGUCCUUUCCAACAUCCAGAGCUGCAUCAUUCCUUGGGGCAAAAUGUGGACAAGGCACUGUUUCUAAAUCCCUGAAGUGGUUGAGCACUGUGUCUGAGGCCAGAAGCUUUCGUGGGUCACUAGAAAAGAGCCUAGUGAGGGGGAGGAACUGGACUGGAACGUGGAAAGCUGGAAUCGGGUCUGACCUGCCCUGCCGCCUUGGCAAAUCACUCCUACAGGUAAUGAGUGGGCCUCAGCUUUCUCACAACCAAAACUGAGAUCCUGAUGUGAGUCCUGCUCACCUUAGAGAGGAGAGAGAAAACCAUGACCGUGACCGAGGAAGAUGCCUCAGGACAUAACUUCUGCACAGGGAAGGUUGUCAAUUUCCUCUGCAGUAUGGAUUUAUGCUCCUCACCUAACCAGCCUGGACUCCAGUAUCCCUAUCUGUUUAAUAUUAAGCUCUCUGAAAUGUCUCCACCAUAGGUAUCUCAUUAGUAGAGGACAAGAGACAAAGGUGAUUUAAUCAAAACAGCCACCAU
rnacentral:sRNA from 1 species